rnacentral:rRNA from 1 species
UACGGAGGAUGCAAGCGUUAUCCGGAUUCAUUGGGUUUAAAGGGUGCGUAGGCGGACUAUUAAGUCAGUGGUGAAAGCCUGCAGCUUAACUGCAGAACUGCCAUUGAUACUGAUAGUCUUGAGUUUGGUUAAGGUAGGCGUAAUGUGUAAUGUAGCGGUGAAAUGCUUAGAUAUUACACAGAACACCAAUUGCGUAGGCAGCUUACUGAGCCGACACUGACGCUGAGGCACGAAAGCGUGGGGAUCGAACA